rnacentral:rRNA from 1 species
UAGGGAAUUUUGCGCAAUGGACGAAAGUCUGACGCAGCAACGCCGCGUGAGGGAUGAAGGCCUUCGGGUUGUAAACCUCUGUUGAGUGGGAAAAAAAUGCCAGUAAUGGUACUGAUGGUACCACUUGAGGAAGCACCGGCUAACUACGUG